GGUGAUUAUUAAGGGGAAUCCCUGAAUAUAUUCUCCAGCAAAGAAGGCAGGGCUGCUGGGGCUGCUCAAGAAGAGAGCCAGCAGCCUCCUACAGCACCACUACAGGCACUGAGAGGACAUAACAUCAGAGAGCAGCUCCUCUGCCCUCCAAAACAACAACUUUCCUACCAUCUUGGAGGUAGUAGAGAGGGGGGAAAAGUACAGAGGGUUUUUAUAGAAAGUGUCAGUUUAAAAAUAAUAAUAAAAAAGGACGUUAUCUAUUUGUGUGACUUAAAAAAAAAGGCAGGUGGCUUAGGAAAUAUUUUCCUUUAUAAUCAGUGAAGAUCAUUUGUCUGAAAAAAAAAUUUAAAAAGAAGGAUGGUCAAAAAGAAAAUCUCUUCUUAGAUGGAGUAAUGCAGGGAGAAAAGAGAUCAAGUCCAGAUUUAAAGUACUCUAGGAAUAAGCCCCUUCUCUAAUCACUGCAACCUCCCUCAUGCUAGAAACUGUUUAACUGGAAACAACAGCGGUUGGAAGGGACAACUCAGCUCACUCAGAAGAGGACACGUGCUAGAGAUUUAUGAUCAUGAAUGUUUCAGUUUCACACAUUGGAAAGAACUUUCAAACCUCAGCUUUACGGUGAGCAUAUUAAACAAUUUAUAGAGAAACCCUGCUUUUUAACCAUUACUACAUCAGUGAAUGUUAUAAAACUGCCCUCCGAAAGAGCUUCUAAACACUGCACCAGUGAAAGAUAUAGUUAUAUUCUGACAUAUCUGAAUAGGUGCAUUAUUAAG